CAGCACCAGAUGCCUCUGUUCCGGAAGAAGAUGGUGUGGGAAAUCCUUCAUCAGCAGUUGCUGUGAGAAUGCCCCGCCUCGUCUCUCCAGCUGCUGGUGGUUCUUUCAUGGAUGGACGUUUCCAUAUACCUCAUGCAUUGUGGGUUAAGAAGUCCCUGCAUCACCUCUGUUCUCUCACAGGUACUGAGCUGUCAGAAGUGCAUGAAGGCCUCUCUCUGCACCCUGGUCCUGACUUGGUGUGCAGCGGGCUGCUUGCAACCCUGUUUAUAAGGCUGUGCCUGCUCAGAGCCCUGGACUAUCAACCCACACAAGAACAUAUGCUAAUUAAUACUUUUUUUUAAAGAUUUUUUUUUUCUCUAUGAACGUGGGAAGUGCAGAUUUUAUUUUAUGAUUUGUUUUUUCUUUG
rnacentral:lncRNA from 1 species